GGCUCAGACACCAAAAAGAUUCAAUUUGGGGUAGUAGAGAGGAGGGGGAACAAGGACCUCACGCAAGAACUGACCUAAACGCUGAGGAGACGGUACUGCCAAUGGAUGACUCUGAAUGAUGUACCAGAAGGACGUUUUAAAUGACCUGCAGUAAACUCUCAAAGGACUGGGCAUCCCAGACAUAUUCUCAAACAGAGAACAUUUCCAGGAACGAGUACUUCUGACACCCGUUAUUAGAACCAGAUUGUCAACUACGUAUGCUUGGGUGAACCUGGCUGGAGCACUCGCAAAAAAGGUGCAAAGAUCUGCAACACAAGUUCUUCAGAGGCUGCCUGAGAAGAUCCUCAUCUGGAAGGCGACAAGGAAUUUCAAGAGCAAGCAAAACUAACUCUCCAGGCCAAACCUGAACAUCCUUAACUUCAGAGUACUUACAAUUUAUAUCAAAACCUGGGAAAGUAGAUACCUGUCUGAUGAAAGCUCAUUGAAGACAGCGUAGGCUAUAACGUGAUUUAUUUUCUACCUGCAAGGAAUAGUGUGUUUGAAGAGACCGAGUGCUUGAGACUAUUUUGAGCAGCAGAUGUUCUGGGUGCUGUAAUCAGGAGGAUGUGAAAAUGUUUGUCUCAGGAGCACAUGAUAAGCUGUGCUUGUGCCUUCAGCUGAAGCCAGAUGGCAUCUUUCUUGAGCGAAUGAAUAUUAGGUGUAAUUUGUUCUUGGGUAUUUUGGGGGAAUCUGGUUUGCUUUGAAUUUAUAUCCUUCCAAGUACAUUUCAGCAUGGAAAAUGGUGUUUUGAAGUGAGCUAACUCAAUUUUCUACCUUGAA